CUCCCGUGCCAGCAGCCGCGGUAAUACGGAGGANCCAAGCGUAUCCCGGAAUCAUUGGGUUUAAAGGGUCCGUAGGCGGGUCUAUAAGUCAGUGGUGAAAGUCUGCAGCUUAACUGUAGAACUGCCAUUGAUACUGUAGACCUUUGAAUUAGUAUGAAGUGGUUAGAAUGUGUAGUGUAGCGGUGAAAUGCAUAGAUAUUACACAGAAUACCGAUUGCGAAGGCAGAUCACUAACACUAUAUUGACGCUGAUGGACGAAAGCGUAGGUAGCGAACAGGAUUAGAUACCCUGGUAGUCUACGCCGUAAACGAUGGUUACUAGCUGUCCGGCCUAAUUGAGGGCUGGGUGGUUAAGCGAAAGUGAUAAGUAACCCACCUGGGGAGUACGUUCGCAAGAAUGAAACUCAAAGGAAUUGACGGGGGCCCGCACAAGCGGUGGAGCAUGUGGUUUAAUUCGAUGAUACGCGAGGAACCUUACCAGGGCUUAAAUGCAGUCUGACGUAUCUGGAAACAGAUAUUUCUUCGGACAGAUUGCAAGGUGCUGCAUGGUUGUCGUCAGCUCGUGCCGUGAGGUGUCAGGUUAAGCCCUAUAACGAGCGCAACCCCUGUGGUUAGUUGCCAGCACGUAAUGGUGGGAACUCUAGCCAGACUGCCGGUGCAAACCGUGAGGAAGGUGGGGAUGACGUCAAAUCAUCACGGCCCUUACGUCCUGGGCCACACACGUGCUACAAUGGUAGGGACAGAGAGCAGCCACUUCGCGAGAAGGAGCGAAUCUAUAAACCCUAUCACAGUUCGGAUCGUAGUCUGCAACUCGACUACGUGAAGCUGGAAUCGCUAGUAAUCGCAUAUCAGCCAUGAUGCGGUGAAUACGUUCCCGGGCCUUGUACACACCGCCCGUCAAGCCAUGGAAGCCGGGGGUACCUGAAGUCCGUUACCGCAAGGAGCGGCCUAGGGUAAAACUGGUAACUGGGGCUAAGUCGUAACAAGGUAACCGUA
rnacentral:rRNA from 1 species